ACGCCGCAGCUACGGACCUGCUAUAUCACUGCUCCCAAACCAAGCCAAAAUCAAUGCUCUGCUUGUGAAGUAGAACUGCUACUCCCAUCAUUUUCGGCCCGUCGCAGUACGGGACCAGGGGACACGGGGUUUAGGGUAAAGAAUGCGGAUUGUAACCCAGUCUAGCCAGAUGCAAACCAGUUGUGACUUAGAGGAAUCACAUCUCCAGUGAAACAUCAAUUAUUCCUGUCUUAAGGUGGUUGAUUAAUAAAAUUUCACAGUAAAUUUUGAGAUUUUACCUACAGCAAUCCAUGAUAUUUCCAGCUGGCCCAACAUAUCUACAAAAUCUAGAAUUAAAGAAAAUCAGCCUGAAUGCAGGUGGGCCAGAAUGAACAUCAACAUUUCCACAGUCACCAGCAUGUUUUAAUCCCAGAUGAAGAAUUCUAAAAACUGAAGAUAUAAUACGAAGAUCUCAUCUGGACAGUUGCUUGGUUUAAGCAGUGAUAUAUUGCAGAAACAAAAACAUUUUAGGUCAUUAAUAUACCUUACUGCCCUUGGGAAUGAUAUAUCCUGGUACAUUUAUUAUUACUGCUCUAGGUUAAGCAAUGAUAAACGUUGUGUCUGACAGGACCGUCAGUUAGACAUUCAAGCAAAAUACAAAAGACUUUAGUCUCAACUCCACAUGGACAUGUUAAGGAAUUCAGGAGCUGAGCCCACUACUGGCGAGCGCCAGUUACCAACUGCAGCAAACACUUGCCGCCAGAAACCAGUUUCAGAGAUAUUUCUGAUCCAGGCCAUUGCCUUCUUGCCAUGCCAUGGUCAAUAGUGGCCAUACAGACAGUGAAAUAGAAAAUGUAAUUGGAAAAAUAAAGGACACUACAAUAUAUUAGUACCUGGUAUAACCUUCACGCAGGGGUCCUUACAUGUAUGGCAUCUACAUCCUAACAAACAAUCGAGCCAGUACAGAAGCUGAGCUUGCUUCAUGGACAACAGGUGCUGGCUGCUAUCAGCAUCCAACAUUCACUGUCAAUAAAAGACAACAGAGAUCAAGCUGAUGUCAGUCAUUUAACACCCUGCAGCAAUCAAUAGUGAUCGCAGCUAAAUGACGGGUGCUGUUCUUGUC